rnacentral:rRNA from 1 species
CCUACGGGAGGCAGCAGUGGGGAAUAUUGGGCAAUGGGCGCAAGCCUGACCCAGCAACGCCGCGUGAAGGAAGAAGGCUUUCGGGUUGUAAACUUCUUUUCUCAGGGACGAAGCAAGUGACGGUACCUGAUGAAUAAGCCACGGCUAACUACGUUCCAGCAGCCGCUGUAAUACGUAGGUGGCAAGCGUUAUCCUGAUUUACUGGGUGUAAAGGGCGUGUAGGCGGGAAAGCAAGUCAGAUGUGAAAACCAUGGGCUCAGCCUGUGGCCUGCAUUUGAAACUGUUUUUCUGGAGUACUGGAGAGGCAGACGGAAGUCCUAGUGUAGCGGUGAAAUGCGUAGAUAUUAGGAGGAACACCAGUGGCGAAGGCGGUCUGCUGGACAGCAACUGACGCUGAGGCGCGAAAGCGUGGGGAGCAAACAGGAUUAGAUACCCGGGUAGUC